rnacentral:misc_RNA from 1 species
UUUUUUUUUUAACAUACAACACACUUGAGAGCUUUGUGUUUAUUUAAUUACUUUUAAGCAUAAAUAGUGAGUACACUGUGUUGUAGUCUUUGACAGGAAUAUGCCUUUCAAUUUCCUUUGAAUUCCAUCUCAUAUAUUGAACAACUUGCUCUGCUUACCGAAACUCUGCAAUCUCAAACACUCUUGCAGUUCCAUCAAUAGAAGCCGAAACAAGGAAAUCCAGAUUAGCAGACACAGAGAGAGAUUGAAUGGCACCAGCGUGUCCACUGAAAGUUCUUAUGCAAUCACCAGAGAGACUAUCCCAUACUCUUAUUUUUCCAUCCAAACAUCCUGUAGCUAGGUAUUUAGAUGCGCCAAGCCAUGUCAAGCAUGCAACUCCAUCCUCAUGGUCACAUGUGGAGCGAGGUGAUGAAUGCUGCAGAUCCCAAAUGAUAAGCUUCUGAUCCAAGCUUCCCGUUGCAGCCCAAGGGGAACUUGGUGCAAGCCCAACACAUUCAACUGAAUCUGAGUGAGAAACCAGAGAACUAACCACCUUCCCAGUUGUUAUAUUCACAACAUGGACAGAAUUGUCCU